CUCCCCAGCCAGGCCUUUGUAUCGGCAGCUCCUGUGAAAAGAAAACAAAACAUGCGGGAAGUCUUGUUCUCGGGGCAGAAUGUCGUUCCCUACAUCUCGCACGCCACAAGCCCUCCAAGAACUCUUUCACUGCCUCGAUCACUCGUCCACUCGUCUCUCCACUGAGCCCCAGCAGCAGCACCGGCUCAGGCCCAAAGAAGAAGAAGAAGAGUAGAUUCAACGGAGCUGCCUGCGUAGCGACCUAAGCAUUACUUUUUCUCGUGUUUACCUUCAAACUACAAUGAAGAGAAGUUCCACAGCCCUUAAGAAGAAGGUGAAGGGCACAGGGACGGCCAGGGAAAGUAAGAAAAGCUGCAGAGAAGCCUUCAUAUGACGAAAGUGCCUCCACCACCGCUUCCACCACCACCACCACCACCACCAAGUCACCACACUAAGUUAAUCUUCUCCGUGGCCUCGGGAAGUGGUGGCAGCGUCAGCCUGAGACGAUUAGUACUGCAGCACGCGUACGUCCGGCUUCCCAAACCUCCGAGGGAGCUGCUCGUGCAACACACUGAGACUUGUCUGGAGCCCAGGAAGAAGCUUGUGUCUGAGUACGAGUCGCUGAUGGAAGUGGCGGCGCUGUCAGCCAGUCCAGCUGGCCACCUCUCCGGGCCCAUAGUCGUGGGGGGCAUCUUGGCGGAGGGUACUGUAGGGUUCAUGGAGCUCCUGGCUCAAAUUACAAGCAAAAGGUGUAUCAAUUACUGCCUCAAAUUAGAGUAUUAGGAAGAUGAAUUAUGAUGACUUACAUGUCUCCAGUAAGUUUAUAAUAUCCUGCUGUAUAUAAAUGCAUCACAGUAUCUUCUGGUCUGGAUUCAGUACUUGAAGGGCGGGAACUUGAGGCUGCUGAGUACCCCCUUGGCCGAGGGAGGGCACCAGGCCUUCCUCACACUUAGCUUUACUCAGGUCAACUGCAAGAGUCUGGACUUCCAGAUCAAGUAUGGGUCCAGCCUGCAGCACCUCCACGGGGUAGUGAGCCAGCUAAAGGCCCACCAGGAGCAGUCUGGCAGCCUCAGCGCCCUGCUGGCCCUCGUGGAGUGAUUGUUUUGCUGUUUGGGGUGACUUAGGAGGCUGGACAAGGGAAAGGGAAGGCAUGGUUAGGGUAGUGAUUGUCCUGCUGUUUGGGUGACUUAGGAGGCUGGACAAGGGAGAGGGAAGGCAUGGUUAGGGUAGUGAUUGUCCUGCUGUUUGGGUGACUUAGGAGGCUGGACAAGGGAAAAGAAUGCAAUCAAAUGGUCACAACUUUUUAACCCUUUAAAUUGGGCACAGGCAGAGACUGACGCUGGGUGUGGGUGGAGUAGCUGGAUACAUGGACCUUGCUGGGUGUGUGAGUGCCUCCCAAAGAAGAGUUCCCAGCGCCACGGCUCCCAAGACCUUUGCCAAGCUGGGCAAUGUCAGUCUGGUCAUUGGACACAAGUCGCGGCAGGUGGCAAAAGUGGACGUGGCUGCCCCGUGUCGCCCCCCCAGUGCCCCAUCAGGACGUCAUUGUCUCCAGUCAUGCGGUCCAGCGAGUCACUGCUCUACCGCACGGCACUGACCCCAAGGACGUCCCGAUCCACAGCAGGGACGUGGCCACCCCUGCCAAGGCCCUGGACACAGCCCCAAGUGUUCCCUGGUGGGCCAUACUUGCUGGGCUCCUCCUCCUCCUCCUCCUCACCCUGCUGCCGUGGAAGGUGAGGGAGAGAGAGAGGGACUUUGAUCACUGUCCCAGGAAUGUUGAUGAUGAGGUUACCGUAGUAUCUUUUUUUUCUUUCCUACUAAUUCCUCCACCUCGGAAAAACUGAGCUUGUCGUCCGUGACCACACCAAUGUUACCUUAGGCUGGGAUUAAGUUCAUGAAAGUGUUAUUCUCUCUCUCUCUCUCUCUCUCUCUCUCUCUCUCUCUCUCUCUCUCUCUCUCUCUCUCUCUCUCACACACACACACACACACACACACACUUCUGGUCUGGGUCAUCACUGUAUCUAUUCUUUCCAGUUUGUCUGAGGUACAAGUUGUUUCUGGCUGCCACAAUGUCUUGGUGCUCCAGUAAUAUUUGUCUUCCAUUCCAACACUUCUUAAAUCUAAACCCAAGUUCUCUUAUAACUUUCCAUAAAGCUGUUCUGCCACCUUGAAAGUUUUUUGGGGUUUCCUUGGCUUUCUGUAGCACAGUAUUCAUCAUCAUCAUUUCCAGGAGAUGGCCACAGCAGAAGAGCUUCCAACUUUCUAUAUCCAGGCACUCCCUCCUUGCCUGCUCAAAGUUUCUCAAAGAUCUUUCCCCCCUCUCCCUAACGUACUCUUGCCCCCUAUCCCUCCAUUUCAUUGGAGUUCGUUCUAUUGCAUUCACUCCUUCUAUCUCAUUCACAUACACCCU